GAUCUGCACAAAGAAAAUUCCAGGACAGAGAAGAGGAAAGGAGCACAAAGUUCCAUUCCCACCCAAGAAGGUUUCUCCUACCUGUGAAGGCCUUUGACAGACCCCACUGGUUAAUUUCCAACCUCCAAAACAGUUCUUCCCGGAGUGUGGCUGGCAUCCGUAGACCUCGUCUGACACACAAGGUGACUCCACUGACUUUGUCCUGACCCUGACUGUGAGUGAACAGCGGUGUGGCUGAUGAGCAAAUCUGAGGGAAAUCAAAAGCUGAGGGAAGACAACUGUA